rnacentral:rRNA from 1 species
UACGUAGGGUGCGAGCGUUGUCCGGAAUUAUUGGGCGUAAAGGGCUCGUAGGCGGUCUGUUGCGUCAGGAGUGAAAACUCGGGGCUUAACCCCGAGCCUGCUUCUGAUACGGGCAGACUAGAGGUAUGCAGGGGAGAACGGAAUUCCUGGUGUAGCGGUGAAAUGCGCAGAUAUCAGGAGGAACACCAAUAGCGAAGGCAGCUCGCUGGGACGUAACUGACACUGAGGCGCGAAAGCGUGGGGAGCGAACAGG